UACAGAGGGGGCAAGCGUUGUUCGGAAUUACUGGGCGUAAAGGGCGCGUAGGCGGCCUGCUAAGUCGAACGUGAAAUCCCCGAGCUCAACUCGGGAACUGCGUCCGAUACUGGCAGGCUUGAAUCCGGGAGAGGGAUGCGGAAUUCCAGGUGUAGCGGUGAAAUGCGUAGAUAUCGGGAGGAAUACCGAUGGCGAAGGCAGGUCUCUGGGCUAUAACUGACGCUCAUGCACGAAAGCGUGGGGAGCAAACAGG
rnacentral:rRNA from 1 species